rnacentral:tRNA from 1 species
GGGCGGUUAGCUCAGCGGUAGAGCGGCUCGUUUACACCGAGCGGGUCGGCGGUUCGAUCCCGUCACCGCCCA